rnacentral:misc_RNA from 1 species
AAAACCUAAGUCGUCUUCCACAGUGUAGACUCGAUAUCGCUCGGUUUGAAGCUUCAGUUUUCACCAUCAGUUGAAGUUUUCGUUUUCACCAUCGAAACUUGCUCGGUUUGAAGCCCAAGAUUUCGUCGUCGCUUCAAUCCUCUGUGUCUAUUUCUUUCUCUUGAAAUAAAGAUCCAGGCAGCUCUUACUACCAGCCUUGCGGUCGACUCUUCCGGUUAGUUAUAAAUUCGUUAUAAAAAAUGGAUAUGCUUUCUGUUAGGUUAGUUGUACUUGUUAAUUUGGCAUUAAAAU